UCCUCUCUCUUUUUUUAAUGGGCUGUAAUGUAGAAGUCGUAGUGACCCAGCUUCGUAAACGCUAAGGAGCGUGACAUUCAGGAUGUGGCAAUGUAGCAGUUAAGGAAGAAAUCUGUGUCCUCUGAUGACCUGGAGCGGUGGAUCCACUUCUCUACUUGGAUCGGCCAGACGACUGUGAGAGAGAAAUGUACUUCUGUCUACCUAGAUCUGGCUAUGUCACUACGUUUUGGACCAUGGAUCUGAGCAAAUUUGGAAGUGCAGCUUCCGGUUUCCACUAAAGCGUCCGCACGGUGCCUUAUACUAUGUCUGGUAAAUAUCCAUCACUGAGUCCCAUCCAGGGCUCUCAAGCAGGAUUUUUUUCCAGGGACCCGCGUGAACCUAUAACACUUAGAAGCAGAAUGAGUUUGGCCCUUACCUGGAUCUUCUCAGCAUCACCUACAUCAGAGGCCUGGCCUCUGAGGACUUCUGCAACCCAACCUCCAACUCUCAGUCUGGGAAACUGAGAGGAACAUUUCUCCCCUACACACAUUUGGCUUUGUGGGCAUGAGUUAAAUGAAUAUAUUACACAAAAUCAACCCAGAGCAGACUGUUCUUCGCAAUAUAAUCUGUUUAAUUGCAUUUUGUUGGCAUACUUGAGAGGACCUCACCCUCGCCCCCGUAAUUUUCAUUAAAUAAUUGCCAUUUUUGUUGGCAACUUUUGCACUGUCACAUUUGAGCACUUCAUAAUAAAUGCAUAUGAUGCCUCAAGGGGGCUUUGAUCUAUUGUUACCAGGCAUCUUAUUCAUAGUGCAUCUGGGACAAAGCCAUUCAGCAAUGCUUUAUUAUCCUUUGUAGACUAAACAGAACCUCAUUAGGUGCCUCAUACAGACACAAACAGCCUUUGGGUAGUAUCACAUUUAUACGAACCAUCUUGGAAGGCUUAAAAUAUUUACAGCCCUAUUUAGAUCUUAAGUUUACCCUAUUCCAUGGGUUUCUGGGCUAGUAUUAUUUAGGAUGAACAUAUUUUAAACAUACACAUUUAGCUGCCUUAAAAUAGGUGACUUUAUAGUGUCAAAACAGUUCUGAAUUAAAUAUGUCUUAGUGCUUGGUAAAGAUAAAGUGAAAGCAUCAUAAUUUUGUAUUGGUGCCCUCCUUUUACUUAAAUAUUGAUUUUAAAAGAAAUAUAAGACUAUAAACCUAAAUGAUUAAAACAACUCUAUUUUGGUAAAAUAUAUAAAGGUUGAUAAAUAAUAUGUUUGAACACAUAUUACUUAUGUCUGUCUAAAACAUACUCUAUUCCAAAAUGAUACAGAUAACUUGAUUAAAAAAGGGAUAUAUUAAAAAAAAAAAGAGGAAAAUUGGGAAAAUGAGAAAUUUGGUUCAUUAACUUGAAUUUCAAUAAUUUGAUGUGCCAAUUAACAACAGCUAAUAAGAUACCAGCCUUUAUUGCUAAUUAGUGAGCUUUGUCUAAUUUGGAGAGUUUUCGGUCUUAAUUGUUGGCUAUAAAUAAAAAAGAAACUAUUCCUAAGCUUUAUGAACUUAAUACUUGAUUUUAAAAUUUAAGAAAUUAUUUUGAAAAAUUUAAAUGGUUGUAGCUGACAUCUUUAUUGGCAGACAAGAUUAGUUAUUACACACACAUGUAUCUAUAGAUAAAAGAAUUAGGGUACUAUCCAUCCUCAUUCCCAAACAAAAUAUUCGCAUAUUUCUUCUCAGAUGCCAAUAUUGUAGCUUUGAUACUGUUUAUGGAA